rnacentral:rRNA from 1 species
CUUGCUUCUCUUGAGAGCGGCGGACGGGUGAGUAAUGCCUAGGAAUCUGCCUGGUAGUGGGGGAUAACGUUCGGAAACGGACGCUAAUACCGCAUACGUCCUACGGGAGAAAGCAGGGGACCUUCGGGCCUUGCGCUAUCAGAUGAGCCUAGGUCGGAUUAGCUAGUUGGUGGGGUAAUGGCUCACCAAGGCGACGAUCCGUAACUGGUCUGAGAGGGUGAUCAGUCACACUGGAACUGAGACACGGUCCAGACUCCUACGGGAGGCAGCAGUGGGGAAUAUUGGACAAUGGGCGAAAGCCUGAUCCAGCCAUGCCGCGUGUGUGAAGAAGGUCUUCGGAUUGUAAAGCACUUUAAGUUGGGAGGAAGGGUUGUAGAUUAAUACUCUGCAAUUUUGACGUUACCGACAGAAUAAGCACCGGCUAACUCUGUGCCAGCAGCCGCGGUAAUACAGAGGGUGCAAGCGUUAAUCGGAAUUACUGGGCGUAAAGCGCGCGUAGGUGGUUUGUUAAGUUGGAUGUGAAAUCCCCGGGCUCAACCUGGGAACUGCAUUCAAAACUGACUGACUAGAGUAUGGUAGAGGGUGGUGGAAUUUCCUGUGUAGCGGUGAAAUGCGUAGAUAUAGGAAGGAACAC